CUCCAGGCUGACUAUCUGUGACAUCCUGGGAAAACAUUGAUGCCUUUUAAGAACCCACAACCACUUUUCCCAUUCGACUAAGUGGGAUUUGCAGAUUACAGCAAAAUCUGAGGUGGCUGCUGAAGCUCCUGUAAUGUCUGCUGGGAUAGCCAUGUUUACCACCCUCAACCUCAGGCUGUUCCCUACUGAGAGCUUCAUGCCCAACAAGGGUGCAGCACACCGAAUCCCCCCUGAAUCAGGAACUCACGGACAUCUGUAAACUCAGCUGUGUUGGAUUGCGACCUUGCCUUUAUCAGAAAAUAGGGGUGUGCAGUUAAGCCAUCUCUAUACAGGAGAUUACAUGCCUCAUUGCUCCCGUCCUCCAUCACAGACUGAACAGAGCAUAUGCAGGGAGUUGCGCUGUGUUUACCACAACCACGCGGUCUCUCCUUUAUAGAAGAACACUGUGAUGACAGGUAUUCCAGUCCCUGAUUUUGAGCCCCGUUACGACAUCUCUCCUCCCUUCUACACCCACCUGCUUCUUAACGCCGGUCCUUGACUUAAUGUGGCCGUCAUGGUGACUGUCUAGGGCAGAUGAGAGCUAAUUGAAAUAGAAGGCUGCUUCUCACUGAUCUAGACUGACAGCACCCCUUCGCCAGAAGUGACUGUGCCAUCCCAUGCUGGCAGUUUUCACAGUGAAAGAAAAGUGUGCGGUGGUGAAAAAGGCAGGCUGUGCUGCGAGUACUUGGGCUGCCUGCCAAAGCCGCCGGAUGAGUUUAUUAGAAACAAGAAGAGAGAUGCAUAUAUUUCCAUUUUGUACCGUCAAAGAAUAAGAGCAAGGUUUUGAGUAACGUGCUGCACUGACCCUUUCCGACUUAAUAUCAGAGAUCACUAAAUAAUUUCACAGGCCGGGCAUGUCAGUUUUGAUGUAAUGAGCUCUGAUUUCCUCAUCCAGCGCUGUGCAGAUAGGUUAAUCAUUUUCAUUAACACCACCUCUUCUGAGAGACCUCUUCCUCUCCAGUGCUGUCAGUGGUACGUUGGCUUGGCGAGCGCUCAGACCCCUGCGCCCCUCAGAUGUGUUAGUCUAGUGCCAGAAAAGACUGAAUUGAUGCACAGACAGGCAAGGACCCCUCAGCGGGCCCUGAGUGGACGACUGUGAUUACUGCUGACAAUAAUUUAUGGGCCUGGCUGAUUGAAAACAUGAGAGAUGUACAGUAGUUAGAGUUGCAAGGGUGAUUAGGCACCACCUUAAGAUACAAAGAUGGUGUCACAGCUGCUGCUGGGAGAAAGUCUGCAGCCGUUCGCCGUAUGCCUUCUGCCCUGCAGUAAAAACCGGGAUUACACCCCACGCCUGUGCCCCCUGCCAGCCCAUACACAUGCGCAUAGAACCGAUAAUAUUGCAUUGAAUUGUUCUUGUGCAUCGUUUCUUAUUCUGGCUUUUAACAUUAGAAUCAAAGUUUCAUCUGUGGAGUGGAUGAGAGUAGAUAACGUGCAUUUAUUCCUAUUGUUUUGAGGAAAUCAUUCAUAGUCAGUGUUUUGCUGUAAACUGUGAGCUCUUCAUCAUAAUCCACAAUCCUCAACACUUCAGAUCUGCUUUCAGUAACACCUCCAUCCUUUACAUAUUCAUCUGGUCUUUCUCUCCCCAGAGGGAGAAUUACCGUGGCUGUAGAACAAUGCCUGCACAUCUAAUAUCAUAUCGA